rnacentral:rRNA from 1 species
AGCAGCCGCGGUAAUUCCAGCUCCAAUAGCGUAUAUUAAAGUUGUUGCAGUUAAAAAGCUCGUAGUUGAAUUUCGGGAUCAAUAUAUUGGUCGUGCCUUCGGUAUGCACUGGUAUUAUUGAUUUCUACCUUCUGACGAACUAUGAUGUCAUUAAUUUGGUGUCAUGGGGAAUCAGGACUGUUACUUUGAAAAAUUAGAGUGUUUAAAGCAGGCACACGCUUGAAUACAUUAGCAUGGAAUAAUGAAAUAGGACGUUUGACCCUAUUUUGUUGGUUUCUAGGAUCGACGUAAUGAUUAAUAGGGAUAGUUGGGGGCAUUAGUAUUCAAUUGUCAGAGGUGAAAUUCUUGGAUUUAUUGAAGACUAACUACUGCGAAAGCAUUUGCCAAGGAUGUUUUCAUUAAUCAAGAACGAAAGUUAGGGGAUCGAAGACGAUCAGAUACCGUCGUAGUCUUAACCAUAAACUAUGCCGACUAGGGAUCGGAUGAUGUUAAUUUUAAUGACUCAUUCGGCG